GCCUUGUUUAAACUUUAGUGGCGGACGGGUGAGUAACACGUGAGAAUUUACCUUUAGGAGGGGAAUAACAGCUGGAAACGACUGCUAAUGCCGCAUAUCAUAUUUAUGAAAGAAGAAAUUCGCCUAAAGAAAAGCUUGCGUCUGAUUAGCUAGUUGGUAAGGGUAAAGGCCUACCAAGGCGACGAUCAGUAGCUGGUUUGAGAGGACGAUCAGCCACACUGGAACUGAGACACGGUCCAGACUCCUACGGGAGGCAGCAGUGGGGAAUUUUCUGCAAUGGGCGAAAGCCUGACAGAGCAAUACCGCGUGAGGGAAGAAAGCCCACAGGGUUGUAAACCUCUUUUGUCAAGGAAGAAGUUCUGACGUUACUUGACGAAUAAGCAUCGGCUAACUCCGUGCCAGCAGCCGCGGUAAGACGGGGGAUGCAAGUGUUAUCCGGAAUCACUGGGCGUAAAGCGUUUGUAGGUGGUUUAGUAAGUCUAUUGUUAAAUCUUGAAGCUUAACUUCAAAAGUGUAAUAGAAACUACUAGACUUGAGGAUAGUAGGGGUAAAGGGAAUUUCCAGUGGAGCGGUGAAAUGCGUAGAGAUUGGAAGGACCACCGAUGGCGAAGGCACUUUACUGGGCUAUUUCUGACACUAAGAGACGAUAG
rnacentral:rRNA from 1 species